rnacentral:lncRNA from 1 species
CUCAGCCGUUGGAGGCAACGACUCUGCGGCUCCGCGAUCACGAGGCCUCCUUUGGUAGUCUGGGAUCCCGGAAGGAUUCCGGCUUAUUCCCUGGCCUUGAAAUCCACGGGUCCAAUUUCCCUGGGGCAAACAAAAAGUGUAUUUGGUGUCACACGUCUCCCGGCCCAAUCCGUGGGGAAGAGCGGGCUUUCGCCCCCGGCCUCGUAACGUCGGGUAGGUUUUCCCCGACUCGACUGCGCUUCUCUUCGUCUCCUUCGCGAACCCGCCGUCGCCCACUGCCUCCUCUCCUUCUACCUCGCGCACCCGCCGCCGCUUGCUGUCUCCUCUCUCGCGCGCACCGGUGUUCCCAUCGCCGUCUCCUUAUCUCCCUCGUGCAGCCGCUGUUGUCUCCUCUCCACCCUUGUACCCGCCGCCGCCUCCUCUUCAGAUUUCCUCUUCUUCACCCUCGCUGCCUCCUCUUCACCCUCGCUACGGCCUCCUCAAAUCGUUGAGACAACUAGUACAGUUGAGACAACUGGUGCGAGGUCGGACGGCGGGGACCAUGCGAACAAGCUCGUUGCUGCCUUCUCGGCUCGUGCACCCUCAUCUCAAGAAGUGAAUCGCCUCAGGUGAGUACUUGCUGGUUCAUUACGUUCUUGCUGAUUCUUUCUUUAUCUCGUUGCUUUAUCUACUAGUAGCGGUGGGUAGUGUUGCUUUAUCUACUAGUAGCGCUGGUUCAUUACGGGUCUCCUUCGGAAUCUUGGUCACCAGGAUCCUGAUCCCUUGCCCCAAGUUGCGCAGGACUGUUCAGUUUGACGAAAACAACAAAUCAAUAAUAUUGUUAAUUACUGCUGGUUCAUUACGCAGGGAGUACUUGCUGGUUUUUUUUAGCUUAGAUUGCUGUUGAGAGACAUAUCAUAAUAUUGUUAAUUACUGCUGGUCUGGUCGUAUAUUUCUUCCAGAUUGAUUCCAAAUUCCGUUAGAGCAAAUUGAUUCCAAAUUUCUUAUAUAUAAGAAUUCACUUCAGUAUCAAUGCUACGUAUUUCUUCUAGAUUGUUUUCUCAACUACUAAAUCAAUAAGAAGAAUUUGGUGCAACCAUUUCAUAAUGGUUAGCGUAGACUAUUUCUCUGACAAAGUAUUUCUCUGAACUUUUUAAAAAUAAUUUGGUGCAACCAUGUACACACUUCUUGUCAUAUUUCUCAAACAUGUUCUCUUGUUUUAGGUAUACUAACAAAUGGGUUCUAGAAUUGAGUUGAUAAAGAAACAUUUGAAACAGGAGGAGGAUGAUGAUGAUGAGUUAUUUUUUGUGUUAGUUCCAGCUAUAUAUGCUUCCCUUUAUUACAGAUGUGCUGAUCCAAUUCAGUUUUCAGAGUAUGUUGACAAUCUGAAUUUAGUUCAAGCAAUACCUUCUCUUUAUUACAUAUGUUUAAGCAGGUGCUUCAUAAACAUCUGAAUUCAGUUCAUCAAUGUAUUCUCUUUAUUACUGAAUAUUGAAUUGAAUAUAAAGGCUUUCAUGUCCCCAAAUACAGAGGGUCUCCAAAUUGGAUAUUGAACUGAAUAUAGAGGAAUUGAAUAUAUAUAUAUAUAUAUAUAUAUAUAUAUAUAUAUAUAUAUAUAUAUAUAUAUAUAUAUAUAUAUAUAUACAUUUGUCUAAGUUUUCUCAUCAACAGGUGAUACACAAGGGAUUUUCAUCAACAAGUGGUCGCCAGAAGAACUGAAACAUCAAGAUGGCGUUUGCUUUUAGGUCAUGCCAUUCAGGAGAUGAUGUUUUAUUAUUAUGCACUGAGACUAUGUUUGACAUUGGUCGUGUACACUGAGACUGUUUUAUUAUGAUGCACUGAGACUAUGUUUGUGUACACUGAGACUAUGUUUUAUUAUGAUGCACUGAGACUGUUUUAUUAAGCAGUGUGAAGUUCACAGCUGCUGUUCUCAUUUUAAUGCAAUUGUGUUCAAUGAGCAGUGUUGAAUGACAAACAGUGUUCUCAGCUGCUGCUCAUUUUUAUGCAAACAUUUGUGUCAUAGUUCUCAGGUUGACAAACAUUUUUAUGCAAGUGUGUUCAAUGAGCA